GGUGCUUUUAGUUUAUUAGGUAAAACCUCAGAUUGUGGUUCUGAAGAACAGGGUUCGAUUCCCGAAAGCACCCCCA
rnacentral:tRNA from 1 species